ACCUUAUCAAGAGCGGUGGAGGGAACGGCCCUAUGAAACCCGGCAACCUGCGUAAGACGCAAGGUGCUAAAUCCGGCGGCAGUGUAUCGAAAGAUGAGGG
rfam:Ruminococcaceae bacterium D16 genomic scaffold acsPy-supercont2.2, whole genome shotgun sequence.